AUUGAACGCUGGCGGCAGGCCUAACACAUGCAAGUCGAACGGUAACAGGAAGCAGCUUGCUGCUUCGCUGACGAGUGGCGGACGGGUGAGUAAUGUCUGGGAAGCUGCCUGAUGGAGGGGGAUAACUACUGGAAACGGUAGCUAAUACCGCAUAAUGUCGCAAGACCAAAGAGGGGGACCUUCGGGCCUCUUGCCAUCGGAUGUGCCCAGAUAGGAUUAGCUUGUUGGUGGGGUAACGGCUCACCAAGGCGACGAUCCCUAGCUGGUCUGAGAGGAUGACCAGCCACACUGGAACUGAGACACGGUCCAGACUCCUACGGGAGGCAGCAGUGGGGAAUAUUGCACAAUGGGCGCAAGCCUGAUGCAGCCAUGCCGCGUGUAUGAAGAAGGCCUUCGGGUUGUAAAGUACUUUCAGCGGGGAGGAAGGGAGUAAAGUUAAUACCUUUGCUCAUUGACGUUACCCGCAGAAGAAGCACCGGCUAACUCCGUG
rnacentral:rRNA from 1 species